rnacentral:misc_RNA from 1 species
GUAGGUGAACCUGCGGAGGGAUCAUUAACACUAUCAACCGAUAGACACUAGACAUACUCACGUAUGAAUAGUCCUAUCACUACCAACCGUGCACUCGGGGAGGUAUGUCGAAUGUCUGUCCUUUGACAGCACUCUUCGUAUCGUUCUCAUCCUCUACUGGAAAUUGUCCGUAUCAUUCGUACGCUUUUUGGCCUAUAAUGAUAUUGUGUCAAUUUUCAUCCCACCUAUUUACUAUACUAACGUAUGUAAC